rnacentral:pre_miRNA from 1 species
AUGCAGGGCAAUCUGUCUUUAAGUAGAGGUAAAUUACUCUUAAAGGAAAAAAGGAAUCCUAGAUAGUUUUCCCUUCAAGUGAAGCAUCUUGU